rnacentral:rRNA from 1 species
AACGUAGGACGCAAGCGUUAUCCGGAAUUACUGGGCGUAAAGCGCGUGUAGGUGGUUGCAUACGUCACUGUUGAAAGCUCCCGGCUAAACUGGGAGAGGUGCGGUGAGACUGUGCGGCUGGAGUAUGGGAGAGGGAUGCAGAAUUCCGGGUGUAGUGGUGAAAUGCGUAGAGAUCCGGAGGAAUACCAGAGGCGAAGGCGGCAUCCUGGCCUAAAACUGACACUGAGACGCGAAAGCAUGGGGAGCGAACGGG